rnacentral:misc_RNA from 1 species
GCUUAUCACUCACUACCUUCAAGAUUAUGAGAUUUCAUACAUGUCACUGAGAUUAAAUAGGACAUCUACACGUGAUAUACAAGAAAGUUAUACAAACAUGUAAGCCCACAAAAAUACACACUACAACAUGACGAGAGAAGCGAAUGCUAGGAUGGGUGAAUAUGGUAUGAACACCCAUAAGUACAACAAGAUCUUCGUUUUGAUGGCAGGCAUUUACAGUCUUAUGCUUCUUCACUGCUGCUCUGGUUGCCAUUUUUAAG